AGAUUAAAGGGGUUAGGUGGGGAAUCCGGGUUGGGUCACUUAAAUUAGGUUAGGGGUCGGGUUUGAGUUGCAAUUGGGCUGGGAAAUUGGGUCUGAUUUGGGGCACAAUUUAGGCUGAAAUUGAAAGCCAAUCUGGCUAGAUUUUAAAUAGUCAUUUUACCCAUUCAUUUUAUAAAAAUAGUAAAUUAAUUUCUGAAAACAAAUUAAAAGCACUAAAAUGAUUUAUAACAUAUAAUUAACAAUUUAAAAAUAUAGAACUUGAUUUUAUGAAUAUAAACGCAAUUAAAUCUUAAAAGAGGCUAACAUUGCAAUUAAGUGCAAUUUAGCUUAAAAAUACUAAAUAAAUUUGUAAAAAUAUGAAAAAAUUACUUUAGCUAUAUUUUAGCAUAAAUUUCAAAGUACAAUGAAUGAAUUACCAAAAUAAUAAUUUUGAAAAUAAUUAUUAGGUUUUUAUAGAUAAAAGAGGGAAAUAAAUUGAUUUUAAAAACCUUUAAAAAUUAUGAAAAAAUAAUAAAACACUUGGACAUGCUUAUAUAUGCAUAUAUAUGCUAUUUUGAAGGUAUUUUGCAUAUUAAAAAAUAUAUAGGAAAAAAUUGGGUAUCAACAAUGCGCACUCGAAAGUAUUUAAAUUAUAAAAGUACUAUAUAUUUAGUUUGUUUAUAAACAAGUGAAAUUUCACAUGUUACUCGUAGAUAAAAGUAAAAGGCAGAAUAGCCUAGGAGACACUUGUACUUGUUCUGGUUUGUUAUACCGAUCCCUACACACCAUAAAGUUUCAUCCAUACACCUCAACUUAAUCAAAACAAGACAUUUAAACACUUCCGAAAUUGUGUGAUGCUCAAUUGCUUGACGUGGGUGACAAAUCAGCAUCCAUAUCAGAUUCUAUGCCAAAAUAAUAUUAUUUAACAAAAUUAUAAUUUCAGAAACAAAAAAUAAAAUAAAAUAAAAUAAGCAAAAAAUUAAAAUUAAAAUUAAAGAAAACCCCUCCUCCCUUCUUCAAACCCACCCACUCAACCUUCUUAAAAGAAUAACUCACCUGCCAUGACUCCUCCACUAUAAGUACCACCACUUCCUUCACUCCUUUUUUAAAGAAAGUUAUCUAUCCAUAAAAAAUACAUGAGCAGAGAAUUAAUUCUUUUGAAUUUUGACUUAUUCCUUUACCCCAAUUUGGAAGAGCUGUGAAAAAAUUUGAAAGCUAAAACCACCAGAAAAAAUAAAGGAGCCAUAGAGAAGGGGAAGAUGACAUGAUGGAAGAAGAAAUACACACCAAAGAAAAAAAUCUAAUGAAAGAAGGGAUGAACAAAGAUGAAGAAAAAGGGAAAAAGAGGGGAUCUAAAGAAGAAGAUGAGGAGAAGAGCCCCCCGGGUGGGUGGGGGGCAGAACGAAGGGGGAGGGAUGCGAAGAAGAGGAGGGGAGGGGGGGGGGGGCAAAACGAAGGGGGAGAGAUGCGAAGAAGAAGAGGAGAAGGAAUUGGGUUUGAGGGGGGGGGGGGGCGCAGAACGAAGGGGGAGCUUCUUUUAUACUAGAAUAGCUGCUAGUAUUUUUUUUAUUAAUUUUAUAUUUUUAAUAAAGAAAAAUCAUCAGUUCACACACCUAAUGUAUGUGUAAAUCACUCAUUUUGUCCACUUCAGCCGUAUCAAUGCCACAUAAGCUCGGUUAACUGUCAGAAGGGUUUAAAAAUCUUGUUUUGAUUAAGUUGAGGUGUCUGGAUGAAACUUUAUGGUGUGUAGGGACCGGGAUAACAAACCGGAACAAGUACAAAUGUCUCCCAAGCUAUUAUGCCUAUUAGAAUAGCUGCUAGUAUUUUUUUAAAAUUUAUUUAUUAAUUUUUAUUUUUUAAUAAAGAAAAAUCAUCAGCUCACGCACCUAAUGCGUGUGUAAAUCACUCAUUUUGUCCACUUCAGCCAUAUCAAUGCCACAUAAGCUCGGUCAACAGUCAAAAGGGUUUAAAAGUAUUGCUUUAAUUAAGUUGAAGUGUCUGGAUGAAACUUUACGGUAUUUAGGGACCGGGAUGACAAAUCAAAAUAAGUACAAGUAUCUCCCAGGUUAUUCUGCCAAAACAAAAACUAGAAUUAUCCUUUUCUCUUUUCACAAAAAGAAAAAAAGAAAAAGAAAGACAUUAUCGAAAUAUAUAAAGAAAAAAAAAGAGUUAGGACCAGGCGUAUGUGGAUUGGAAUCGGGUCGGACCAUUUCUAAACCGAUGGUGGAUUUGAGAAAUAAAAUAGGGAUCAUAUUAUAACAAGGGGGUUAGGGCUGCGAACAAUCAGAGAGACAGAGAGAGAGAGCGCAAUAGAAGAAAACUGUGUGUGUUGAUCAAAAAAAGGUUAAGCAUUAAGCAAAUGGCGUUGAUGAAGGGAGAGCCAUUGGUGAGGAAGGUGGCGCUGAUAGCUAAAUAUGUAGUGUUCCCUGGAGCUAUGGCUGCCGCCGUGAUCUAUUCUCCUCCCACUUACGCUUCUUAUUAUUCAAAGUCCCAAUCUUCUUCUUCCAAAUAAACCCCAUGUCGCUUAUUUUUGCUUUUCUUUAUGGGUACGUGCCCUUUUCUCUUUCUUUUUUCAAUUCAUUUUCGUCAUUCCUAGGGUUUAGAAUUUGUAUGCUAUUUCUUUGCUGAUUUUUAUCCACUCUCUAGAUUUUUAGUGAUCUAAUUUAUGUUAUGGUUGUUUUGUGUCUUAAUAUGCCUUAUACCAAUUUAAUUUCCUGUUUGCUUUUCAAGAGUCAAACGAACUGAAUUUUGCCUAAUUUUUUGGAAUGGACUCUUUCCUCAUUUUGACAUAAUAAUCAAUAUCCCGAUGUAGCUCCAAUAAAACCUAAUUGACUUGAUAAGCUGAAAAGGUAAUUAAAUUGGGGAUGGAGAGAGAAUUGUUUGCCCUUUUUGGUAUGUGACCUUUCUUUGUCUGCCAAUCUUUGUGACCUCUCCUUGGUUUUGGGUCUUGCGGACAAUGUUUUUUGUGAAUAUUGCUGCCUUUGAUGGUGGAUUAUUCCAUUAUAUUCUAAUUGCUUUCUUGUUUUGAGAAUGAAAGCGUGGUAUAUUAAUUUUCUCAGGGAGGAAUUCAAGGGUUAGUUUGUAUGCACUGUGACUUUUUGGGUUAACUUUCUUGCUGACCCUUGUAUAUAUACAACAACAACAACAACAACAACCCAGUAUAAUCCCACUUACUGGGAUCUGGGGAGGGUAGUGUGUACGCAGACCUUACCCCUACCCUAGGGUAGAGAGACUGUUUCCAAAUAGACCCCCGACAUACUUCCCUCCAAGAACUUCCCACCUUGCUCUUGGGGAGACUCGAACUCACAACCUCUCGGUUGGAAGUGGGGAUUGCUUACCAUCAGAGCAACCCCUCCAAAUAGACCCUUGUAUAUAUGUGUGGGAAAAAUGGAACAAGGGCAUUUGCAUUUGAAAUCAUAAAGAUAAAAAAAAGUACUAGGUGGAGUAGCCCUCGCUGCCGUUAUGAGUUAGUAUGAUGUAUUUUCUAUUCUUUAAAUGAAUGUUGUGUAAUAAGUAGCAGGAGCUGCUUCUCCAUUAUGUGAUUAGAAUAGGAUUAGCUGGUGAGUGCUGGAAAUUGUGUUAUUCUAACUCCUGAAAUGCUCUAAGCAUAUAUAGAUCUAAUAGAAUUUUUUGUGGGAACAAAUAUAGAUAUAAUUGAAUGUUGUGACGAACUUCUUCACUUCAUUUGUCUAGAUCUCCUAGAAUGUGCUUUUGUAUCUUCUUCUUGUCUAGUGUAACACCCUUCUCCAUGACAAGAAGUAGGUGGGGUGAAAGUGCUAUAUAAGCAGUUAACACCUGCUUAAAAGUCAGCAGUGGGAUAGCCAUUAAAAGUAUGUUUUCUGUAAGCUCAAAAUUAUAUCUCGUCAGAAACUGGGUUUGGCAGCUUAGUGGCAUUGGUGUGGAAGAGCUAAUGUCUCUUUGUGUCUGACUUUUUCUUUUCUUUUCUUAUUUUGCAUCACAUAGCCUCCAUUACUUUCUCUACUGUUAACUGACUCUUUAGUUAUGGUAUUCUUCUUGAGCUUAGGUGUUAAUUUUAAAGCUCGUGCUUUUGCAACUUUCGACAGUCAUCUCAAUAAUGUUGUCUCGACAUAAAGAUUUUAUUACUAAUUUCAGGAGAUUAAUUAUGAAAUUUCUUAUUCUGGUAAGAGACUUGAUUGUCUUUUUAGGGCUAAGUGUGAGAUCUAGAGAACAUCUAGUUUCAAAAAACCCCUAAUAUAUCUAAAAGAGAACUUAUUUAGUAUUGGGAACUGGGUCUGAGUAGAGUAUAAUGGGUAUGGAGGAUUCAAAUGGCUGACCACAACGAGUUUGAGAUUGAGGAAUAGUUGAUUCAUAUACAUUUAUUACUAGCAAAAAGGACAUAACUGUUACAUUUGAACUAAGCCUAACAUUUAAGUGGAGAAGAGUAGAGGAGCGGCCUCAUUAUCCAUGAGUUUCGAAGGUUGCGGUUGGGCCUAAGGGUUGAACCUGAAUGGAUUUCUCGAGCAUUAAAAAAAAGCGAACAUAACCCCUUACGGAAGAAGAAUAGAAUAACCUGUAGCUACACAAGAAUAUUGUUCUCUAUUAUUGUUAACAAAUCUCUUUUUUUUUUUUUGGGUAAUAAUUGUGAAAUAUUACCAUCACAACCAAAAAAUUGAUACACCUAAAGAGUACCUAGGACUAUAACCACCUUCUAGGAAGGUGGUUAAUAGUCAGUUAGGUCUCACUUGAAUCUAAUUACAUAAUCUUUGAAAUAACACUUGUAUCUACUAGCUCUUUUUGUACCCUGUAACAUAUCUAAUGUAUACUUAGUUUCCUUCUGUAUCUGUUCUAUCACAAAAUUGGUACUUUCAGUUCCUAAACUGUUUCCAGUUCCUAGCUGGCCAUGUGUAGUAAAUCAGGGCCCACCCAUACCGCUAUGACCAGCUCCUUCUUCAUUUGUCUCCAAUACCUCCUCUUGAUCUGAUCCACCUUAUGCUCUGUCUGAUCCCUUGCUUCUGGAAUUGGAUGCCUGACCAUGCUGAUAGUUUAUCCCUCACUUCUGUAAUCCAGGUGUAUUCAGCAAACAGAUGAGUCUGUGUUUCAAUUAGGCCCUCCUCACAUAAACAACAUAUAGCAUCAUUCACUUGCAUUUGUAGUCUUUGGAGUCUCUCCUUAGUCAACAACCUGUCUUGGCUAGCAAGCCAGACUACAAACCUUAGCUUAGGUAGCAUUAUUAUUCUCCAUAUUAGAUCAGCCUCUUGCAGUCUCACCAUAUCCCCUAGCAGGGCAUUAUAACUCAUAGUAACUGAGUAGGCACCAUUUGGAGUAAGAAAAAUCCUCCCAUUCUGAUACCAUUGACUCAUUAACAGCUUAAGGGAGUUAAGUUUCUUCCAGUUGGUACUACAGUCAAUUGGUGGUUGCUGAUUCCAGAUAGACACAUCAUGUUUCAUAUAAAGCCCAUGCACUCAUCUCACCCAUAAGAUGUCUUGUUUCCUUGCCAGUUGCCACAACAACUUUCCACUGAUGCCAUAUUCCACUUCCUGCAGCUCUUAAUUUUUUAGGAACACAUACUUUAGAGGCAGCCCUAGAUAUCUUAAUAAUUUGUACAAGUCGGAAUUGAUAUAUGCUCCUAAAGAUAAGAAAAAGCAGCAAGAUAUGAUGAUCUGCAUGAAGGAAUGCUUAGUUCCUCUAUGGACGCUCUUCUAGUCCAGAUCAUUGUCCGGGAAAUGACAUCCCAUGCUAGGACCUUUCUUUCUUCUGGCUUCCUACUAAUCUUCCAUAGUUCAUGACAUAGCUUAUUGACACCUCGAAUCUAAAUUAUCAGACCAAGUUCUUUAGUCUUUUGGAAUGUAUUAACUAGUCUCUCCAACAUUAUUUCACCACCUGGCAAAAGUUAAGACCAGCUUGUGUAAACUGUCUUCUUUAGACAGUGUAUUUGUUGUUCUUUUUGUGCUUUUCUCUUUCAAAUAGACUGUCUUAAACACUUCACGGACACAGCUUUUUGACUCCAAGCUCUUGGAGAGAGAUGCUAAAGUUGCUGUUUUGAGCGGUCUGCUCGUAGCACCUGGAAUGUUCCCAAAUCCCACUCUCUCUUAGUUCUAUCUCAGGAUCUACCACUUUGUUGAACUCCUCUCAACUUCAUGUCUCCUUCCAGCGAGCUGUCUCGUGUGCUCGUCUUCCAAAUCAUCCUGCUUGCCUUCUCCACCCCAUAAUCCCAAUUACUUUCUUCAGGCUUGCUCCUCCGGGACAAAUCUUUCAUGUUGUUCCCUAGUAUUGGUUACUAAUGACCCUCAUAUCCAUUGUUCCAUUUUGUAUACCUCUAUCAGAAAUCACUGUUUUCCUGACUCAUCAAAUGGAAUUUUCAAUCUCUCGUUUGCUUCCCAUUGAGAACUUCUUUCCAACUGCUCCAUUUUCUGAAUGAAUGAUACUAGUAGUCUUGGAAAAUUCAUGUGCUCAUGCUUUAUGAUACUUGCUACUCUUUUGCUUGUCGCAGAAUUGAUGGUUGGACUAGAUAUGAGUUUAACAGUACGUUGCAAAGUUUUUGAAAGUGUUAGCUAUAUAUGUCUUUACUUUUUUCUACUGCACUGUAUCUCAUUGUUGAAAAUGUUGAUUGUGAUGUUGUUCUGCUUUUUCCUUGCCAUGCCAUGUUUAAUAACUUUGUAUGACGGACGAGUAGAAGCAAAGUACAAAGUUGGGUUAGAACUUUGAUGAAAUGAGCUGAUUUAUCUAACAUAUAAAAGAAUAUAACUAUUCGAUCGAACUGCUAUUUUUCCUUCAAUCCGCAGAAAGAUAAUAUACUCCGGGGUUUUAUAUUUUGUUUAUAUGAAACAUGAAGGAAGGGAUUGCCUGGUCCUUGAACAGUUCUUCCAAAACAAAGGAUUUAUUGAAUUGUCUUCUUAGAACAAUUCAUGGUUCAUAUGCUUAGUCAGAAGGAAUAAUGCAAUGGAGUCUAUGGAUUUACCUAGGUCAUUAUGGGCUAGUCACACAAGGAUUUUUUAGAAAUCUUUUCCGGACAUGAGAACAACAACAUUACUAUGACACCAAAAAGAGAGUUAGUUUCUUUUCUAUUUACUCGUAUCUGAGUUGUUUGUGUACUAUUCUUUUUCAUGGUCUUGGUCUGGUUGAUCUCAAAGGUAGUAGUUUGGCUUGUUGAUUAACUUCUAUGUGAGACUUGAUAGACUAGUAUAGGCCCAAUUUACGUUUUGCAUCUACCCUUGGUUAAUAAUAACACCAAUCUAGUUACACACAUGAAUUAUAAUUGGAUAACCUGAUAUUCUAUUUCAGUUAAAUUUCUUCUUUUCUAAAUACAGCACGCAUCACUUUAAUUUAGUUGUAUUUUCUUUUAAUGGCCAUGUUAAUUGACAUGUUAUAUCGUUCUUGAUUGCAGAGAUCUUUUUAACUUGAAGAAUGCUUCUGGUUCCAGUAGUCUACUGAUAUGUUCUAUUUGUCGUUGACGUGGCAUGUAAUAAUCCAAGGGCAGCUUUUUUCUGUACUCAAACUAUGAACAUUUGAAAAUCGGAAUACUCCAUAAUUUUCAAAAUAUCAGUUGAGCUCGGUCCCUUUUAUUAUCAGCUUGUGAAACCUUCUUCCAUUAUGUAUGUUUCCAAUUUUCCUAAAACUGAAGUUCAAGACUAAUUAUGGACGAAUUAACUUAAAAUAAGUUUGACGGAAUUUUGUGAGGAC
rnacentral:lncRNA from 1 species